UACGGAGGGUGCAAGCGUUAUCCGGAUUUACUGGGCGUAAAGGGCGCGUAGGCGGCAAUUCAAGUCAGCUGUGAAAUCUCCGGGCUUAACUCGGAACGGUCAGCUGAUACUGCUUUGCUAGAGUGCGGAAGGGGCAAUCGGAAUUCUCGGUGUAGCGGUGAAAUGCGUAGAUAUCGAGAGGAACACCUGAGGUGAAGACGGGUUGCUGGGCCGACACUGACGCUGACAGCGCGAAAGCCAGGGGAGCAAACGGG
rnacentral:rRNA from 1 species